UACGGUGAGGGGGCGAGCGUUAUUCGGAAUUAUUGGGCGUAAAGGGCGCGUAGGCGGCUGAACAAGUCAAAGGUGAAAUCCCUCGGCUCAACUGAGGAACUGCCUUUGAAACUGUUCGGCUUGAGGCCGGGAGGGGGUAGCGGAAUUCCCAGUGUAGCGGUGAAAUGCGUAGAUAUUGGGAGGAACACCAGUGGCGAAGGCGGCUACCUGGACCGGUUCUGACGCUGAGGCGCGAAAGCGUGGGUAGCAAACAGG
rnacentral:rRNA from 1 species